rnacentral:tRNA from 1 species
UUUAAUAUGGCAGAUUAGUGCAAUAGAUUUAAAUUCUAUAUAUAAAGUUUCUUUCUUUUAUUAAA